ensembl:lncRNA
CCGGACUGAUGUUGGGACAGCUGUCUGCAGAUGCAGAACGCCAUUACUCAUCCCUGACCACCCGGUCUCGGUCGGACGGUCUCUAGGAGCUUCACUCAUGCCAGAUACUAUGCGGAUUCUCACCCAGCCUGUGGAAAGAAAGGCUGGGUCUUGGGUGAGGGGAGGGUAAAAGAAAGUUGUUCACGACAGCUUCCUAGAGAUGAUGGAAUUUAAGGAAGGUUGGUCCAAGAGCGCCGAAGAUGCAGAUGUAGAGAGAUGGGGACUGAAUAGAGGGAAUGGUGAACCUCGAAUUUGGCUUCGGAAAAUAGUUUAAUGAUCAUUUCUGAAGCCCCUUGCCCACCAGGAGUGCCUGAGGUCACAGCUAGUCCACGGUCAAGUCCACAUCCACGGAAACCCAGGAAAGAAGGAGGUGAGGCCUGGAUUCAGAAUGUGGAAGGGGCCAUAGGACUGAGUCUUGAUCUAUAGGCUACUGUGUCUCCAGAACCAGAAUUGGAGGGUCUCGGUGGAAAUGGAGGGGCCCCGGAAAGCCUCGAAAUGCUGGCCCAGGAAAGCCUCAGAGAAGAAGAACUUAAUGGUGCUGACUGCCCCUGUCACAGCCUGGGAGGAAAAAUGAACCAGACCACAGGACGACUGCAGGCCGGGAUGAAAGAGAAACCACAGGGAGGACCCAGUCAUGUGAACAACUCUUUGGUUACACUCUCCUGCAAUCCACCAGGAGCCUCUCUUGCUUCCCACUCCCCUCAUACCCAUCAGGCCAAGCAGAGAUCAUAGCUGUGGGCGAGAGUGGACUGUCCUGGCCCCUGCUAGGGCAGCAGGAAUCUGACCUGGAGAAAAGGUAAGACAGACAAGCUGAGGACUUCUGUUCCAGUCACCUGGGAUGUGAAGCUCAUCUAGGGAAAGGGGAAAAAAAAAAAAA